rnacentral:rRNA from 1 species
AAUGAACGCUGGCGGCAGGCCUAACACAUGCAAGUCGAACGGAUCCUUCGGGAUUAGUGGCGGACGGGUGAGUAACGCGUGGGAACAUACCCUUUGGUACGGAAUAGCCUCGGGAAACUGGGAGUAAUACCGUAUGUGGUCGAGAGACGAAAGAUUUAUCGCCAAAGGAUUGGCCCGCGUUGGAUUAGGUAGUUGGUGGGGUAAUGGCCUACCAAGCCGACGAUCCAUAGCUGGUUUGAGAGGAUGAUCAGCCACACUGGGACUGAGACACGGCCCAGACUCCUACGGGAGGCAGCAGUGGGGAAUCUUAGACAAUGGGGGAAACCCUGAUCUAGCCAUGCCGCGUGAUCGAUGAAGGCCUUAGGGUUGUAAAGAUCUUUCAGGUGGGAAGAUAAUGACUGUACCACCAGAAGAAGCCCCGGCUAACUCCGUGCCAGCAGCCGCCGCCG